GGUUAAGCGACUAAGCGUACACGGUGGAUGCCCUGGCAGUCAGAGGCGAUGAAGGACGUGCUAAUCUGCGAAAAGCGUCGGUAAGGUGAUAUGAACCGUUAUAGCCGGCGAUGUCCGAAUGGGGAAACCCAGUGCAAUUCGUUGCACUAUCGUUAACUGAAUACAUAGGUUAACGAGGCGAACCGGGGGAACUGAAACAUCUAAGUACCCCGAGGAAAAGAAAUCAACCGAGAUUCCCCCAGUAGCGGCGAGCGAACGGGGAGCAGCCCAGAGUCUGAAUCAGCUUGUGUGUUAGUGGAACGGUCUGGAAAGUCCGACGGUACAGGGUGAUAGUCCCGUACACCAAAAUGCACAGGCUGUGAACUCGAAGAGUAGGGCGGGACACGUGGUAUCCUGUCUGAAUAUGGGGGGACCAUCCUCCAAGGCUAAAUACUCCUGACUGACCGAUAGUGAACCAGUACCGUGAGGGAAAGGCGAAAAGAACCCCGGCGAGGGGAGUGAAAAAGAACCUGAAACCGUGUACGUACAAGCAGUGGGAGCACCUUCGGGUGUGACUGCGUACCUUUUGUAUAAUGGGUCAGCGACUUAUAUUCUGUAGCAAGGUUAACCGUAUAGGGGAGCCGCAGGGAAACCGAGUCUUAACUGGGCGUUAAGUUGCAGGGUAUAGACCCGAAACCCGGUGAUCUAGCCAUGGGCAGGUUGAAGGUUGGGUAACACUAACUGGAGGACCGAACCGACUAAUGUUGAAAAAUUAGCGGAUGACUUGUGGCUGGGGGUGAAAGGCCAAUCAAACCGGGAGAUAGCUGGUUCUCCCCGAAAGCUAUUUAGGUAGCGCCUCGUGAACUCAUCUUCGGGGGUAGAGCACUGUUUCGGCUAGGGGGUCAUCCCGACUUACCAACCCGAUGCAAACUACGAAUACCGAAGAAUGUUAUCACGGGAGACACACGGCGGGUGCUAACGUCCGUCGUGAAGAGGGAAACAACCCAGACCGCCAGCUAAGGUCCCAAAGUCAUGGUUAAGUGGGAAACGAUGUGGGAAGGCACAGACAGCCAGGAUGUUGGCUUAGAAGCAGCCAUCAUUUAAAGAAAGCGUAAUAGCUCACUGGUCGAGUCGGCCUGCGCGGAAGAUGUAACGGGGCUAAACCAUGCACCGAAGCUGCGGCAGCGACACUAUGUGUUGUUGGGUAGGGGAGCGUUCUGUAAGCCUGCGAAGGUGACCUGUGAGGGUUGCUGGAGGUAUCAGAAGUGCGAAUGCUGACAUAAGUAACGAUAAAGCGGGUGAAAAGCCCGCUCGCCGGAAGACCAAGGGUUCCUGUCCAACGUUAAUCGGGGCAGGGUGAGUCGACCCCUAAGGCGAGGCCGAAAGGCGUAGUCGAUGGGAAACAGGUUAAUAUUCCUGUACUUGGUGUUACUGCGAAGGGGGGACGGAGAAGGCUAUGUUAGCCGGGCGACGGUUGUCCCGGUUUAAGCAUGUAGGCUGGUUAUCCAGGCAAAUCCGGAUAAUCAAGGCUGAGGUGUGAUGACGAGGCACUACGGUGCUGAAGUAACAAAUGCCCUGCUUCCAGGAAAAGCCUCUAAGCAUCAGGUAACACGAAAUCGUACCCCAAACCGACACAGGUGGUCAGGUAGAGAAUACCAAGGCGCUUGAGAGAACUCGGGUGAAGGAACUAGGCAAAAUGGUGCCGUAACUUCGGGAGAAGGCACGCUGGUGUGUAGGUGAAGUCCCUGCGGAUGGAGCUGAGACCAGUCGAAGAUACCAGCUGGCUGCAACUGUUUAUUAAAAACACAGCACUGUGCAAACACGAAAGUGGACGUAUACGGUGUGACGCCUGCCCGGUGCCGGAAGGUUAAUUGAUGGGGUUAUCCGUAAGGAGAAGCUCUUGAUCGAAGCCCCGGUAAACGGCGGCCGUAACUAUAACGGUCCUAAGGUAGCGAAAUUCCUUGUCGGGUAAGUUCCGACCUGCACGAAUGGCGUAAUGAUGGCCAGGCUGUCUCCACCCGAGACUCAGUGAAAUUGAACUCGCUGUGAAGAUGCAGUGUACCCGCGGCAAGACGGAAAGACCCCGUGAACCUUUACUAUAGCUUGACACUGAACAUUGAGCCUUGAUGUGUAGGAUAGGUGGGAGGCUUUGAAGCGUGGACGCCAGUCUGCGUGGAGCCAACCUUGAAAUACCACCCUUUAAUGUUUGAUGUUCUAACGUUGGCCCCUUAUCGGGGUUGCGGACAGUGUCUGGUGGGUAGUUUGACUGGGGCGGUCUCCUCCCAAAGCGUAACGGAGGAGCACGAAGGUUAGCUAAUCCUGGUCGGACAUCAGGAGGUUAGUGCAAUGGCAUAAGCUAGCUUGACUGCGAGCGUGACGGCGCGAGCAGGUGCGAAAGCAGGUCAUAGUGAUCCGGUGGUUCUGAAUGGAAGGGCCAUCGCUCAACGGAUAAAAGGUACUCCGGGGAUAACAGGCUGAUACCGCCCAAGAGUUCAUAUCGACGGCGGUGUUUGGCACCUCGAUGUCGGCUCAUCACAUCCUGGGGCUGAAGUAGGUCCCAAGGGUAUGGCUGUUCGCCAUUUAAAGUGGUACGCGAGCUGGGUUUAGAACGUCGUGAGACAGUUCGGUCCCUAUCUGCCGUGGGCGCUGGAGAAUUGAGGGGGGCUGCUCCUAGUACGAGAGGACCGGAGUGGACGCAUCACUGGUGUUCGGGUUGUCAUGCCAAUGGCACUGCCCGGUAGCUAAAUGCGGAAGAGAUAAGUGCUGAAAGCAUCUAAGCACGAAACUUGCCCCGAGAUGAGUUCUCCCUGAGACUUUAAGUCUCCUGAAGGAACGUUGAAGACGACGACGUUGAUAGGCCGGGUGUGUAAGCGCAGCGAUGCGUUGAGCUAACCGGUACUAAUGAACCGUGAGGCUUAACCUU
rnacentral:rRNA from 1 species